rnacentral:rRNA from 1 species
UACGUAGGGUGCAAGCGUUGUCCGGAAUUAUUGGGCGUAAAGAGCUUGUAGGCGGUUUGUCGCGUCUGCUGUGAAAUUUCGGGGCUCAACCCCGAACUUGCAGUGGGUACGGGCAGACUAGAGUGUGGUAGGGGAGACUGGAAUUCCUGGUGUAGCGGUGAAAUGCGUAGAUAUCUGGAGGAACACCGGUGGCGAAGGCGGCAUCCUGGACCGAGAUUGACACUGAUGAGCGAAAGCUAGGGGAGCAAACGGG